rnacentral:lncRNA from 1 species
GGAGAUCCAGGAGUUGAAGGAUGAGCUGGCACUGGUGACUGGCAAACAAAGAACGUCAGAGCUUUCACAAGAAGAGCUACUUCAGUUGGAUGAGUUAAUUGAAGCAUUUCUUGAAGAUAAUGAUCCUGAUAGCAUUCUGGAUGUUGGUGUUGAUAUGCGCAAGAUCAAGUAUUGCUUCAUUCAUUUGAAGCAACUAAUGAAUCAUUCAAAGAUUUCUGAUAAAAAACUGCUCUCACAACAGACCCCUAACAAAAAAGACUCUAACAAAGAAGCAGGAGAAGAAGAAUUGAAAAAACUAAAAGAACUUCUGCUGCAAAGAGACAAUGAAA